CAGGCCAAGACCGCAUUUUUGGAGAGUGGGGUGUGUGGGGCAAAUAUGGCGGCGGGAGGGACGGCGGGGACGUCGGGAACACUCCGCAUGCAAAGUUUGUCCUCGGUGUUUGUCAGCACAUGGUCGCUGUGGGAAGAGCCUGGCCACCCGUGCGUACAGAUCCUCCCUCAGAUUGCCGUGUGAUGGCUACUUGUAGUGAACAGCAGCAGACAGAGGGCCUUCCCCAAAAGUUCCCCAUCACCUUGCAUGGUUCAUUUCCAUGGCCAUGGGCUCCUCUCCUCCACAGGGUUGAGUCUCGUUUCUUUAAUGGCAUACCCUGAGAUGUCCUGGGGGAAGGCUGGCUGGAGACACAGCACUCACCACAGAUUCCAUGUGCUGGGCUACACUUCCCCGCCUCCUCUGCAGCUAGAUUGGGGCCCCACGGCUUGUUCUGCCCAAUGGGCUGAGACCAAGGCCAUCGCGGGUUGAUGUGCCUCCUCGUUUUGCCACAGGGACUUUGGACGCCCCGUGUUCCAGACGGCAUGCCAAAAGGGGGAGGGUCUCGCCACUCACAGGGCACCUGAUAUGCGCAAGAAAUAAACUUCCAUCUCAAGAUUGAGAUUUCAGUCUUGUCACUGCCACAUGGCCUGGCCUGGCCCCGUGAAUAGUUAGAGCGUCAGAAUUAACGGAGUAAUUGCUAUUCUUGAGCUCUUUAAUGUGAGGAAGGAAGAAGCUGUCUCUGGAGCCACGCGGGGCAGCUGAUUGACGCUUUCCCUGACUGUCAUCAUCUAGCACAGAUGGCACUUCCUGUUUGGUAACACCUCACGUGGGCUUCUUCAUCCCCCACUGACUCUGCCAGUCACCAUCCUACACAGUCAAAUGUGCACAGUAUUAGAAGUUUGCCAAGAGCACAUCCUUGUGUCUGCCAAGGAGUGUCUGUUAGAGGAAGAGUAUUCUAGCAGACGAUGUUCAGAGGAGAAAUGGACCACCCCAGGAGGCAGCAAACCCCUUGUCUCUGAGGUGAGCACGUGGAGGUUCGAUGCCCGUCGGGGAUUUGGGGGGAGGGGGCAUGAAGAUGAGACGCCAUCCCAGAAAGGGGAGGGCUCGGUGUGGGAGGGCAGGCUGGACCAGAUGAUUUUUAAGUCCCGUGCAACCCUGAGAGUCUCCAGCCCAGAGUCUAUUUCUUUUUUUGGAAAGUGGAUGAAUGGAUAAGCUUUGGUCACUAAGAAAGUAAAGACCUUAGGAGAUCAAAUAGCCUGGCUUAACGAGCAAGUAAGUAUCAUAACACUAACAUUAUCCUUGCUUAAAGGUAUAUGCUCAUGAGAUCAACGUUCUCGGCUCCCCUGAGGUCGACAAAUGGUGACGAGUAGUCACGAAGGCAUGUGAAGCAUAUCUGUAAUUUACAUGUCAACCGCAAGGAGGGCUGAGCUGAGGGAGGAGUCCCAGCCUUGAGACAGACCAAAGUCAUCAUGAUAACAGCCCCGUAAUAAGGGCAUCGGUGCUUUAUCAUGUGCAAAGUGUUCUCCGUGACAUCCUGAGUGCUUCGAGAUUACUAUCUCAGAGCUUAUUGUCAUACAUCAUACAUUAUCAUAUAUCUCUGAAUUUAUUAUCAUAGCCUCUGGAGGAGAACGGCUGCCAUUCUCACUGUAUGGAUGGGCAGGGAGAUUUUCAGAGAUUGUUCCCACCCAGGAACACAUAGCAAGUUAAGGGGGGAUAUCCCAAGACUUGAACCCAGAUCCUUUGAUUGGAAGUCAUGGAUUUUAAAAUAAAAAAGCAUGUCUACUCCUGGCACUAGAAGGUGGGACCAAGCUCCAUUCGCAUGCUCCUUGGUUCCUGAGGGAUUUCUGCUUUCUGUGUGCAAGAUUGUGUGGGGCAAGGUAGAGUGAGGAUAAGGAUAGCCCUGAACUGCUUAUAGGAAGAAGGAUUUUUGGGGGGGGGGGGGGGGGAGGGGAAGCAAUGAACUGAGGCACAGAGUGCUGGAGUUCAGACCCUAACUCUUUGUUUGACCCAUUUCACAUCCAUGGCACCCCAGUUUCCUCAUUUGAGAACGGGAAGAAAGAUACUGACCCACCUUGAAGAAUUUCCGUGAGGACCCAGUAAGAAGACGGGCUGAAAACAUUUCGAAAACCCUACAAAGACCAAAGUUGUCAUUUCAAGGAGGAAUUCAUUCAGCGGCAGGUAACAGGGGCACCGGCUACAGAUGGUUUUAACAGAUGCGGCGUUAUUUUUCCCUGGACACAAGAGUAGCACAGGGCAGGGUAGCAGGUGAUGGGAUUAUGCCGUGGAGGGCCUGGCCUUUCUGUUUUCCUGUUCUCCCUUUAUCCUCUUGCUGCUACCUUAUAAACACAAGAUGGGUGUCCUAUCUCCAGGGUUGCAUGCCAGCUCCAGGCAGGACAAAGAAGGGAGACAGAGGAAGAACCGGAAUGAAGAAUGGGAAAGUCUUCUUAGGAAUGCAAUAGCUCAUUGGCCAGAAGUGCAAUCAAAUGGCCGGGUUCUAGAUACGCGGGAGGCUGGAGGCGUGAGCACUUUGUGGAGGUGUGACCCGGAACAAAUCCAAGGUUUUGAUGGAAAUGAGGGAGAGGCUGGGACCCACAGCGGGUGGCGGCCCGCAGUGCCUGCCAUGGCUCCAGUACUGAGACGGGCGCUCAAUUCACAGGGAUCAUUUGACCUCGGUCUCUGGACAGAGUGAAGGCAAAUUGGGUUGCCUCAUGCCUUGAAGAAAAAAUGGGUCUACAGGAUCCCGCUGUCAGGAUGGGAAAGGGAGGUGGGCCACGGAUAGAGUAAGGCUGUGUGCGGCUGCGGGUCUGGGCAUCUCCACGGUGUCUCUCCCCCCACCUUCCCCUGCUCCAGGCUCUGUUUCCUUAGCCUCCUUCCAUGGGGCUGGGCCCGGGCGGGCUGAAUUCGAGGAGCUCAUCUCUAGCCUCUGUGUUUGUGUACGUCUCCACCCGAAGAUGUCUAACCACAGACUUCCUCUUGACUCCUGGCAACAGAGAGAAAACAAAACCGCAGCAGCUUUCAUUGCUGAAAACACAAAACUGCCUCCUUUGCCUAAUAAGCCCAGACGGAGGAGCUUUAUUUCUGCUCGCGACUCCAGGCCAAGGAGUCUCGGGUGGGCAGUCACAUCGCCAGACUGUGCGGUGGGAGCAAGCCACCUGCUGGGGGGCGGGACCCCGAGCUCCAGGAGCCUGUGUUACUGGCCGGCGGGGCUCCAGGGAGACCCUCAGGGAUCAGGGGGCCCUCACCUGCCCCACGAUACCAUUGGCCUCUCCCUCCCACCAACUCUGGUUUCAAAGCACUUGUUUAGUGUAUAUAUAUAUUUUUUUAUCCCCUUAGUUUCUGGGCUAUUAAUUUCAGCUAUUGGUCAAUUCCCAUUUUGUGCUUUCCUUUUUUGUUGGCUUAUUUUUCUAAUUCCUUAUGAUGCGUAUUCAGCUCCUUUAUUUUUAGUCUUUCUUCUUUAAUAAGGAAGGCGUUUCAGGCCAUAAUUUCCCCCUGAGUUGAGCUUUUUUGGGGGUCCCGUAGGUUUUGAAAUCAAAUGUUCCUCUUUUCAUCUGUUUCUAGAUGGUUUUUGAGUUUCGUUUUAAUAUUUCUUUUGAUCCAUGGGUUAUCUAGACCUCUGUUUGUUAAUUCCCAAGCACUUAAGAAUAUUUUCAGCCCCAUUAUUUUUUUAUUUAAAAAUUUUGGAUUACGGUCAGAGAAUACGACCUAUAGACUCUCCAGUUUUAAAUUAAAAGAUUUUUUUCUCUGUGUCCAAGUAUGUGGUCGAAUUUUAUAAAUGUUCUAUGGGGAAGGACAAGCUGAGCUGGUGAGACCAGCAGAAAAGAAUGAUGUUCUAAAAUGUUCUUGUUCUGCAGAUAAGUCGCCCAGUUUCGAAUCUUGCUUCUACCUGUCUCUAGCUGCGUGUCCAAGGACGAAAUGGAGUAUUUUUUUUUUGAGAAUUUGUUUUCCAUCUUUAAAAUGGGAGCAAAAGGAAUAUCCACCUCUUAGCAUUUCUGCGAAGAUGGUGUGAAAUUGUGUAAGUAAACAGUACAUAUGCCCUAUUGCUAUUUUUAUUGUUGGUUUGUUAUUUUUGCAGAAAGGGAGGAACCUUUACUGUUAGUGCCCUAAGCUUUCUCCCUGCCCCAGAACCGUGGCUUCUGGUUAUCGAGAGGCCUGGCAGGAAAGAGGAAAUGGACGGCUCAGGGAAGCCACCACCGUCCUUGUGAAGGGAGCCACCUGAGGUGGGGGCCACUUGCCCAAGCAAAAACAGCGAUUUGGUGGCAAGGCCAGGUUUCAACCUCAGGUCUCAACUGACCAGUCCCUCUCUCUCUGCUGGCGGUCACUCUGUGGUUUCUCUCUUGAAAGAAGAGACUGUUGACCAAAGGUUGGCCUCUGGGAUGAGGGAGGGGCUGGAAGCUUCUGAUGGGUGGCCACCUCUGAGCGUUGCCUUGUUACAGCUUUGCCGUCUGGGAAGGGCGACUCUGAGGUCAGCAAGCUCCAGGAGAAGCUAGAGAAAGAGGGUUGGUUGGGAGCGGUUGGCUGCUUCGGGCACUGCUGUUUCACGGCUGGGGGGGGGGUGGUGGACGGAGGGAAUCACAGAACAGAAUUACGAGGCAGGGGGUGUCUGGGCUCUCUGAUUUGGGCCAUUGAUCUUAGGAGCAAGACCAUUCAUUCGCUGAGGAUUCCCUGUUUCUAUCAGCAAUCAUGUAACCAUGCUGUGUUUGGACCAUGUGUGGACAAGGAUGCCUGUAACAUAUAUGGAUUUGUCUAGGCAGCGGGACUCUGACUUCAGAUAGGAGUGUGUGCCGUGGGCUAGGCUGCCGGCAGGUAAGGCCUGGGAUUGGCUCCUCCAUAUAAAAUCUAAAAAAAAAAAAAAAAAAAAUUAUAAGGCCUCUAAUGAUUAUUAUGAAAAUUAAGUAAGUCAAUGUUUGCAAAAGUGCCUUGUAAAUCGCAGCACAAAUACCGAAGAAAGUCAUGGUGUGUAGAAUUUGGUCUGAAAAUACUAGCUGACGCUUGACUGUGUCCCCAGCUCUUCGCUGGAAGCUGCAGAGAAACCAAAUGGGGUUAAGCCUUGUUCGCCCAUCGUGGGGCUGGUGGGCUUUCUCAGCGUGAAAGCCUUUCCCUGCCCCUUCCUUCGAACACGCUUCGAUUAAGCACCUAUUAAUAGGCCAGGUUCUGGGCUAGAAGCUGAAUAGUGUGGUGAUCACCGUCUCCUAGGGGACAGACGCUGAGCAAACGGGUAGGUUGCAAAGCCCCGCUGGGGAGCCAGGGAUUGUCACAGAGAAACGGAUGGGUUCAAAGGGCACAAGGCAAGGCUCUCUGAGCCUCCGUUGCAUCAUCUCUCAGAUCCGGACGGGUGGCCUGAACGUUCUCUUGGAAAUCGGUAGCUUGGUUGGAGAGAGUAACCACGAGGUGGGGUGGGCGAGUGGACAGAGGCCAAUUUACGGCGGACCUAGCACUGGGGAAGAGGGAAGCAGUGGUGAUCUUGGCCCUUGGAGAGUCCAUAGUGCGGUGGAAAGACAAGAAAGCAGCCAGUGACAGCGUAGUCUGGUCUGAGUUUUGACAGGCUAAGUGAGGCCAAGAGGUACGGGAGCCCAGAGGAGGAACCCUUUUCCCCAGCCUGGGAAGUUGGAGUGGAAGUUAGCAAAGCAGAGACGCAAGCUAAGGGAGUUCUAGGCAGAGGGAACCGAAUGAGCAAAGGCAUGGAGUUCUAUCCAGCGAAGACACAGAAUCUGAAAUGGGGCGCGAUAAGGCUGCAGGAGGUACACAGUGAACUUGAACGCCGUGGUGGCGAACUUGAACUUUACCCUGUAUGUAGCGGGGAGCUACUUUAGACGCAGAAGCAUGAGAUUAAGGAUUAAUUAGGCUUUGCCACCAGGAUGGCAACUGCGAGUGGGUCCAGGGGAGGCAGGCUGCAGAAGUCCUAGAGGCCAACGUGAAAGGCACUUGUCUGGGGUUGAGCCCAUCGUAUAGCAAGUCUAGAGUGCCAUUGAACUUCCACGGACUCAGCGGCAACCUUCCCCACACAGUGCCCCUGGUCCGGGGAGGAUGGGGCCCCGAGCUGAGAACUCUCUUGCAGGGCCCAGGCCUUCAGAACAGCCCUCCGGGGGGAUGGCCCCCUCCAGCCUCGAUGGGCUAGUUCAGGCUGCUUUAGCUGGGGCCCAUUUGGCUGCAAGGGACAUUUUGCUCAAGCCAAAUGAUGACCUUGUGGAAGGGAGAUGGCGAAGUUUCACAAAACCCAGGGGUGAAAGCUUCAGCCCCGCUUCUGAGGAACUAAGAGUCCAAAACUGCAGAGUCCUGCCUAAGGCUCUUUUCCCACACUCACGGCUCUCCUUCCUCCUUCUUCCCUCCAUCAGAGGGCCAGCUCUCUCUGGUAGAGGAGAGCCCCACUGGCCGGCUUCUCCUCCUCACCGCCAAAUGCCCCGUAGUGGCGGAGGAGAGGACCUCCCUCCGGUCGCUGGGAUCCGGGCAGUCUGAGGGGCUGUGCCUCGGGUCAGGGGGCCUGGGGCCAAGAAAGGGGGUGUGUCCCAGACAGCAGGGCUCCGGAGCCUACUCCUCUGGGUCUGUUGGGGGGUGGGCUUGUGGGUGGGAGGGGUGCCGGCGCUGGAUUGGCCCCCAAGGGCUAUCCGUUCUAUUAGACCCGGUGAGCCUGCCCUCCAGGUGCACAAGCAGUCAGAAUCCACAGAGACCUCCACUCACCUUUUCAGGAAGGGAGACAGACCAGAAAAAUCCCCAUGUUUGCUACUGUGGACAGUGAAAGCAGGUAAGUAAAGGGUCCGAGAAGAGCUUGCCCUGGGGGUGGUGGGCAGGGGUGCGGGAGGGCUGGGCCCUUUUGCUACGGGCUUGGGGAGCCGGUUCAGAGCCCGGCGACCUGGUAGGAGGUGGCCGAUCUUGGAGGAAGAGGCUGAGGCCCCUAGGGCUGGAGGCUAACGGGGGCAGAGCCAGCAUCUUGGGGCUGAGGAGGGGCCCAAGACUUCUGGGGUGGGCAUGCGAGGUUCCUUUGUUUCAGAUGCCCCGUGGACUUCACACGGCACCAGCUGGAGGAACCAGAGACCAUUGGGUGGUUUUCCCCAAAUGUGGAGGAAUCUCUCCCCUCCCCCACCUCUGGUGUUGCUAGACGCUGGGCUUCCUGGGGGUUCUCAUAAACUCAGGAGGCUCUGUAAUCGUUUCCAUAUAGAAUGGUUUCCCUGCAUAGCGAAGGAGGCCAGCUGUAGCUGAUGGAACACAAAACAGCAUGCGCUCCUGGGGGAUAAACGUGAACGCCCAUCCCUGUGCCUGGCACGCCCCCCACCCCGUCCCCCCAACUCCAGGAGGGAGGAGGUUGCCCAGUGGUUAAGCACGUGGCCUCUGGUCUCUGCACCACACGCUUCAACUCCGGCACGAUUGCUCACCGGUCGAAACCCCAGGCACAUUACUUAAAUCUUGCCGGGUCUCAGUUUUCUCUCCUGUGAAAUGGGCAUGAUGAUAGCCCGAAGAAAGGUUGUGGUCCUCAGGAUUUAAUGAGACACCUGGAAUAGCACGCAGCACGGGUGUCUGGAUGGGCUCACUAACACUAGCGGUUUCGAUGGUCACUGUCCCUGCUUCGGCACGUGCUGCAGGGCUCAGCCCAGUCCCUUGUGGUUUCUCUAUUGGUUUCCAGUGCUGUUACAACAUACCUGAUGCGCUAACCAUCCCCACGUCCUCCGUGCUUGCUAAACUCUCCCCACAACUUGCUUGGGCUCUUUCCUCCUCUGUGAACCCUCCUUGUGAGAGCUGCCUGGCCACAACCUCACCGCUCCUUGGGGUGCUGCCCGACCCGCCCUCCUUCCUGAAAGCGUGCCGCAGAUCCGGGAAGGAAUUCGCCACUUCGCCUCCAACUCCCCAGGCUCAGAAUUUCCACGAAUCUCUGUGAGAGGGAGGCAGCAGCACGCAGCACGUCACGUCACGGUGCAGCUCUAGGGUGGCACAGCUGUAGCCCUAGCUGUGUGACCUUGGCUUGCCUGGGCCUCAGUGUCCUUGCGUGUCACAUGGAGACAAUGCAGGCAGAGCUUUGUUCACAGGGCUGUGGUAAGACACGUAAAGCAGAGACAAUGCCUCCUGGCACCUCUGAAGGGCUCACAAAAGAUUGGAUAUUUCUAUAAAAAUAAUCUCCAAAAGCCUGGCUUUUAAUGGCUGUGAUAUCUACUGUGUGGGUAGAUCAUAAUUUCAUUAACCAGCCCCUUGUUGUUGGGCAUUUAGACCGCUUCCACUCUUUCGCUAUUAUAAAUAAUGCUGCGGUGAACAUCUUGUAUAUAAAUCUUUCUGUUUAUCUCUGCUUCUUUAAAAGAGCUCCCCAAAGACUGCUUGUCUUAGAACAAAGCCCCUGCCCCCCAGACUUUCCAGUGAUGCCCUUUGAAAUAAAAGCAAAGCCUGUUUUCCACCAGGGAAAGGAACAUAUGGAACAUGUUAACCAAGAGGUGGUUCAGGAGGAAGGUAGAAAUAGGUUCAAGAUGGGUUUGGAUCCAUUUCAGGAUAUCUGACACAAAGCCAGUGAUACAGCUCCCCUCGAGCCUCCUUCCCGGAGCGAGGCAGAGACUGAUCCUCGGGGACCACUGACUUCUUUCUUUGAGAGAGUUCCAAAGGGCUUUGAUGUUCUUGGCGUGGGAGAAGCAACAAUGACAGAUCAAUAAACGAAGCCAGAAUGUGUGGACAAUCCGGGACUCCUCCAGCCGGUAGGGGGCGAUAUCGCCUGCUUCUGUCUUCCAGUUGGGCCUAGGGUUUCUCCCUAACAAGGACUUCCUUUGUUGUUGUCUUAAAACUUUGGCUUACGCUUUAUAUAUUUCUCUCGCCUGUUUUCCUUCCUCUCCUCCCACCUACGCACUUUUCAGAAUCACUUUGGGUUGCCAUUCAUUCAUCCCCUUCCUUUGGGAGAAAUGUACUGCGUGCUUCCCCUAGGCCAGACAUCAAGAUUGUGUUCAGACUUUCUAAGACCUAGACGCGCUUGCUCUGGAAGUGCCGACUCACACGGAUCAAAUGUAUUGCAAUUCACCCAUAUUCCAUAUGAGGUAUAUUUUUCCUGUGAAGAAAAAUAAGGAUUAUAUUUUAUAACGUCACUUUUGAAAUUAUUUGGCUACAAGUAAUUCGUUCCAUCUACGGCCGGCUUUGAUUUCCCAGCAGUUAUGGGGGUGCUCGAGAGUUCUUGCAAAGUGAGAAACAUCUAACCUGCACGUCGUCCUCAAAGAUAGUGAAAUGUUUACGAAUUUUUAGGAAUGCUAAAUGAAACCAUGAAUGCGGUUGAUGUAAUAUUCUGUUUUGUGGACGUUUCAGUACAAUUUUAUUCAUUUCCAUUGCAAAGCUUUUCCUUCGUGUUUGGGAUCCAAUAAUUUUGUUUUCAGGUCUACAGACAGUUUUUAGGGAUCUCUGAAAAGUUCCCAGGCCCUGUAACCGUGCCCAGUGGUUAGCAGAGCCCUCUGUGAGUCUCGGACAUGGAGAAACGGAAGAGUUGGGACAGUUUUUACAGAGUUCCCAGGCCAUCGAGUGACACAUCGAGUGGCAAACUAAUUUAGGUAAGCGUUGCUAUAACGGAGUGUGAGCGGGACACAGUGAAAGUAUCAUUUGCUCUAAGUUGAGACUCCAGGGGGAGUCAGUGAAGACUUUCAGAGAGCAGGUGCGUCCGAGCCAGAAUAUGCGACUGGCGAACAGUUUUCGAAGCAGAUACCAGUGGGGAGGGUGUUGCGGGCAGGCGGCACAGCACAUACAAAGGGGGUGGCCGGGAAAAGAACCUCUGCCUAUGAACAAGCCAGCUGACCUCUCAGUGCUGCCCACACCGAUCGCUAGGGCGUCGUUUUCCAGACCAGCGGCACUGGUGUUGGAAAGGCGGUCGUAGGCUCCCCCCCCCCCCCCCCCNNNNNNNNNNNNNNNNNNNNNNNNNNNNNNNNNNNNNNNNNNNNNNNNNNNNNNNNNNNNNNNNNNNNNNNNNNNNNNNNNNNNNNNNNNNNNNNNNNNNNNNNNNNNNNNNNNNNNNNNNNNNNNNNNNNNNNNNNNNNNNNNNNNNNNNNNNNNNNNNNNNNNNNNNNNNNNNNNNNNNNNNNNNNNNNNNNNNNNNNNNNNNNNNNNNNNNNNNNNNNNNNNNNNNNNNNNNNNGGGGGGGGGGGGGGGGGGGGGGGGGGCGGCCAGACUGUUCGAUGAUUGUUGGAGGGCUGGGCUUUUCUGUUUGGAGACUCCUCCAUGCACUGGGCCCACACUGUCCCUUCUGCUGGCCUACACUCCAGACAGCCUGUCUUGCCUGUUGGCUCCCCUAGCCGGUGCAUCACCGAUUACCUAAUAGACUGUAGGCUGUGUGCGUAAUUUAUUCCUGUGAGUAAUUGAUCACAUUAGGAUGAGCAGGGGAAGUACCAGGGAGAGAAGGGAGAAGAAGCAUCAAUAACCAGGGGAAGGAAAACUGCUACAGUCAGCUAAUUAGAUAUCUCUCUUGAGCAGCUCUUUCAACAUGAUGGCCCAUCCCGCUGCUGCUGGCUGAGCACCCCCUCCCCCUGCCCCCACGUGUGGAGGGGCUUUCUGACGGGUGAGGACUAGAGCCAGGAAACUUGGCUCAUAGGCCGGGUAAUCUUAGGCAAAUUACUUCUCUCUGGGCCUCAGUUUUAUUGACUUACAACAUGGGGAAGGCUGGAUCAGUGGUUUCCAAACAUGGCUGAUAGCGGAAUCACCAGAGGUGUUUUAGAAAAUAUCAACCCCAAGGUCGCUGAGACAGGAGGUACGGAUCGAGGCCAGGAAGCUGGGUGAUCAUGAGCACCUCCUCCGACUCUGACGUGGUUGGUCUGACAGAAAUGCGGGAACCCCUGGGUUGGAAAGAUAACCUCGGAGCUCCUGGCCUGCUCUGACGUUUCCAGGUCAUUGGUAAGGAUGGAUGCCUCCACGACCCCUUCGGAGGGUGAGGACGGUGCUGUGGAAAAGAGACUAGAAGGGCCAGAGACCCUUUAUCUACUCCUGGCUGUCAAGAAUUCACUCUGUAAUCACGGUUUCUCCCUGAGCCUCACCGAACCCACCGCUAGGCUUUAUCCGAGCACCAUGUCGCCGUGUGCCCGGGAAGAUUUCAAAAUACAGCAGACUGGCUCCCCUCGUCCCUAGAGUCUGCCGUAAUACGUAUGGGGUAGCUCAGGAUGUUGUGUAUUUUUUUUUUAAAUUUUUUUUAACGUUUUAUUUAUUUUUGAGACAGGGAGAGACAGAGCAUGAAUGGGGGAGGGUCAGAGAGAGAGGGAGACACAGAAUCUGAAACAGGCUCCAGGCUCCGAGUUGUCAGCACAGAGCCCGACGCGGGGCUCGAACUCACGGACCUCGAGAUCAUGACCUGAGCCGAAGUCGGCCGCUUAACCGACUGAGCCACCCAGGCGCCCCAGGAUGUCGUGUAUUUAAAGGCUGCCGGGCGAUUGUGAAGAUCAGCUGGCUUCAUAAGGCAGUGACCUGUCCGAAGGCAUCGCGGAACGGGACACUGGAAGACCACGGGACUGGGCAGCAUCCGGUCGGAGGAGGCCACUGCCACGUUGGCAGGAAACACGGACCGUAAAGAGCCCCGGGCAGAUCCUCACGCUCCUGUCGGUCUCUGUGCGAGUGUAGGCAGAGCCCACCGGUCACGCACUCCGGCGCAAGCAGAAGACCUGUCUCCCAACCGGUGCUUUUACGAAUAGGAGCAAGUCACAAGAGCAAGGUGAGUGCGUUCCUUUGUCUGUAAAAUGGAGCGUCCACGGUAGGCCUUCCAUCCUCCCAGCCCAGUUGAGAGGAUUCAGCGGACCCACUCGAAGCCUGUGCCCUAUGAGUGGUCUCUGCGAGAACUGCCCGCUUCAUCCCAGUUCCCCCCCAGCACUGGGACCGGCGGGAACUGGGCUGGUUGGCUGUUAACCUCUCUCAACCCGCUGUGGAAGCAGGACCUGGAGGGUCUGCUGCCGCGAUGGGCCAGAGGGCCCGCGAGGAGACAGACUCCCGGCUUUCGGUCCAGGUGGAAACUUCUGGAAUUCCUCCUUUCCACACGGCCAGCUGCAUGGCCCAGUGCUUUCCUGUUUUCUCUCAUCUCUUGGGGCCGCACAUGACAGCCCCAGGUCAGCAUGUGCCUGCGUGCUGGCUAGCCAGUGAGACUGGAGCCAGUUUCCAGGGACUGAGGUCUCUGAAAUCUGUUACAUUCUCUUCAUCCCCUUCCCCAUCACCUAACCCAAGGUACCUUCGAGGGACCGUUAAUGCCCUCUGCAGAUGUGUUCUCCUCAUAGCAGCCAGAGGAGUCCUCUUAUGACAUAACUUAGGUCAUGUCAUUAGUUUUGACUGGCUUCCCAUUCUCACUGGAUUCGAUCUAAACUGGCGUGUAAGGAAUACCCUGGAAUGGCUUCUCAUUCUCUUUGCCUGAACCCCACACUUCUCCUUGUUUACAUGGCCCUGUACAAACUGGCUUCCACGUCUCAUCUCACUCCAGGCUACCUACCCUUACUUGCCUUGGGAGGCAGAAACAUCGCUAUGUGUCUUCCCAAGCUGUUUAUUGCCUUCCUGUGCACAUGGCCAGACACCGUCCCCCCCUCCUCGCGGUAAGGCGGGGCCGUAUCUUGGAGUUCUUGUCAAUGGAAUAUGAGUGCAAGUGAGAUGCAUCACCUCUGGUCUUGGCCCCCAAAGCUUUUUCUUUUUGCCGUUGACUGCAUGCAGAGGCUAUAAUGGACCACUCCAAGGAGACCUCGGAGGAUGGCAGGGAGCUUGGGUUUUGAGCAACCGAGCAAAAGACCUCCAACCAAACACCCGACUGGUUCUGAGGAGAAAAAGGGAUACACUAAUAUUGUCUGAAAUCACUGAGAUUUGGGCUUGGGUGUUCUAAUGGCCCGACUCAUCGCCUGUUCUCUGUUCCUGGAAUAUGUUAAGGUACUUUGUGCUUCUCCGAGGCUGUGUCCUCUGCUUGCAAUGCUUUUCCUGACCAUUCCUCACAUGCUUGCGUCUUUAGCCGCUAGGUCUAAAACUCACCACCAGCUCUUAGCCUUCAUCUGUGUUCUUGUCUUAUUAUUUUUUUUUUAUAGAACUUUUUACAACUUGUGUGUUGUUUUUCUUAACUUUGGUUUUCAUUGUGUUCCCCACUAGAAUGUGAGCCUCCAAGGGCAUGAAUCAAGUCUGUCUCACCCCCCAGCAUAUAUCCCGUGCCGAACAAAGUGUCCGACAAAAAGUAGGCAGUUAACAACUAUUAGCUGAUGGAUUGAAUGAAUGAAUGAAUGAACCAAUUAUGUGUGAUUCAGCUCAGUUCAUUUCAAAUAUUUCCGGGGCACCAACUUUGUGCAAGGCACUUUACACACAUAUAAUGCGUUCUCUACUCAAUUCUCAUUAAAAUCCUAGUGGGGAGGUAAGAUCAUUAUCCCCACUUUACGUAAAGACAUCAAGAGGCAUUGGCAGCAACCAUAACCCAGGUCCUUCACAAUGGCAUUCUCCAGCCACCAUCCUAUCUCUGAAAGGUAGGUCCUAUGGUCUCCGUUUUACAAAAGAAAAAACUCAUGCUCAGACAGACUGAGUCACUUUCCCAAGGUCAUGCAGCUAAUGAGGUCAUGCAGCUGGGAUUUACACCCAGGUCCAGGGGGAGGGAAUGGAAGAGAAUGGGGACACGCCUCUCUUACAGUGCUAUUCUUCCUGACAGCCUCAUUAGAAAUCCCCACAGAAUAUCUGGAACGUGGGUGGAAAUGAAGACUGGAUUUCUCCAGAGUCCCAUGAGCUCGGUUUGCAACGGGAUUUCAUUUUAAACGCAGGACCCUCUCUCUCCCAUGGCGCCUGGGAUGAGGGGGCGCCAUUUUGUAUCCUGGGAACACAGCUCCCGUGACCUUGUGUGAGCCAGGCUGGCCUGGCCACCACCGAUAAGCUGGAGGCAUGAGUGCCCAGGUUCAUCUGGGGAGAGCAGCCGGAGCUGUUGAUAGGCAGAGAAAAUCUGUGAUUAAUUAUGGCAGAUGAAAGUAUGAAGUAAUGAAUCCUUCUUGAGGGCUGGGCGAGCUGAAGGGCCUCGCUCUCUGGAUGCAUGUGGAGACUGCACGGCCCCUUCUGAAACCAGCAGUAAACUUUAAUGGCUGCAAGUUCUGUGACUUGGCGGGCUGCGGAUUGGAUGGCACAUAGAACUCAUGAAUUCUCUGGGGUGGGAGCUAAUUAGGGUGCAAUUUUUCAAUUACGGAACAUUGAGCGAGCCUCUCCCCAGACCCCCCCCCCCACCAUCCCUCAAUGGAUACACUCCAUUUGUCUGUUUUCCUUUAUUUCUUAAUCAUUUGAUGAUAUGACAGCAAUUAUUUGUCAUUUGGAAGAGAAAAUCGUCACGGAGCUAUUGUUUCCCUCCUGAAGCCCCAGCUCUUCUGUGGAGAUGGUUACAUUUGAUAAAUGGUCUGCGUUCCCGCCGCUCCUCCCCCAACCCCCACCCGGGGUUGGUGUGGCAACAGGAAAACAUUAGCCUGUGACGCGCCUGCUCUGAUUGAAACGCCAUUUGUAGAAAGGCCUGGAAAAGAGCAGGAUCCAGUUGAAAAGAGCCGCAGCCCCGAGCUCUAGGCCCACCCACGUCACCCAGGUUGAGGCUGUGGGACAUUUGCUUUGGGAAAUUUGGUCACUUCUCUGAGCUAAUAAGCCCAGCGUCAGGAUCAGGAAUGCAAAACAGAAAUGGAGCAAAAAAGAAAAAAAAAAAAAAAAAAGGCAAAGAAAAAAGCAGCACUCCACCAGAAAUGGGAACACUUAAAUGACUUUGUUUAAAUGUCAUGGUACUCUCAAAACCCUGUUCUCAUAUGUAUGCAAGUUAAUUAAAUGGAAAAAUGUCAAAUUAGUUGCUUAAAAUAUUAAUGGCAGGAAUUAUCCCAGAUUCUAGAGCAGGCAGUGCAGAGGAAAUGAACCUUUUAGGGCUUAACCCUUUUUUGGGUCACCCUUCUCACACAAAAUAGAUCUUUCUUUUAACCAUGGGAAUCUCCGUGACUACCAAAGAGUUUUGUGGGUUUCAGGAUCCAAGCUUUCGGUGGUGGUGGGGGGGGGGAGAGGGUUGCCCUGCAAGUCCGUCUGGAGUACAGAACUCACUAGUGGCAUUUAUUCCUGUAGCACUGGUUUUUUCAUGGGGGAUUUGAGGUUUCCGGGAAGGCCCAAUGAUCCUGAACAUGUCCCAAUGGUCUGUUCUGGGGCCUGGGUAACUUGCCAUUUUUUCUUUUGGUUUUUGAAGGGUAUUUUGGUUUACAGAACCCAGUAAAAUGCAAAAUAAGAAAGGCUUGCACAAAGAGGGGCACCCCCGUUGGUAUUCAGUACCAACGGGGUCUAAUGGCUGCGCUGACCAAAAUGGCGGGAAGAGGGAGAGCCACAUACUCAAGGGCUUUGAAUCCAGCAGGGAGAGGCCACAGGGCCCCGGAUCUGGUCUCAUGGUAGCCUGUGGGGAAACUUAAGCCUCAAGAAAACAAGAAACGUUCCAAAUGCCACACAGCUAUUGAGUGCUGAUAAGGCUCAUCUAUUCAUGCACACAGUUUCUGCCCACCUCCCCCAGGGACUUCCAUAUAUUAAGGGACAGCAGGGCAAAUAGAUACAGGCCCGUGCAGGCCACAUGCCUAACACCGUAGGAGGAAGGGCAGAGGAUGGACGACAGGGACACGGUUAUCAGGGAGACCUUGCCUCUAUCAGCCAAAGAGCAUUUACCACUGACGAUGACAGCCAGCUCUCCAUUCUGGCAAAGGCAGGCAGGGAAGGAAGGCAAGGCCUGUCUAUUGAGAAAUUACGGCUGGUCACCGCCUCGACAUGCUCAGAAGCAUCUUGCGGAAUUCGAUCGGUUCAAGCCUGACAGAUGUUAUCCCUCUUUUACGGUUUAGGAAAGCAGGAGACCCUCUUGGCAAGGGGAAGUGGCCGAAAUGAGUCCGCAGGAAUUUGUAAUGCUACAGUGGCCAGUGGGGUUUCAGUUUAAUUGCAAAUUAGCAGUAGAAAUACCCAAUAAUAGAGGUAGGGCCCGGUUUCCAAAAGGGGUAUCCUCAGAAGGAAGGAGAUAUUCUGAGUUGCCCUGUGAGAAAAAAAUUCCAAAAAACGUAGGGAACCCCUAUAUAUCUGUAUUUUUAUUUUUUUUAAUGUUUAUUUACUUUUGAGAGAGAGAGAGAGAGAGAGAAUGCACACACGUGAGUGGAGGAGGGACAGAGAGAGAGGGAGACACAGAAUCCGAAGCAGGUUCCAGCCUCUGAGCUGUCGGCACAGAGCCAGAUGCGGGGCUCAAACUCACGAGCCAUGAGAUCAUGACCUGAGUUGAAGUCAGACGCUUCACUGAUUGAGUCACCCAGGUGCCCCAAGAACCCCUACAUAUGUUUAUCCUUUUUUGUAUCAGCCAGUGUAGUAAGUUGUAUCAUGGACCCCAAAUACAUUUCCAUCUUAAUCUCCAGAACCUAUAAAUGCUGCCUUAUAUGGCAACAAGGACUUUGCAGAUGUGAUUGAAUUAAGCAUAUUGAGGUGGGAAGAUUAUUCUGGAUAAUUCACAUGGGCCCAAUGUCAUCGCUAGGGUCCCUAUGAGAAGGAGGCAGGAAGGUCAAAGUGAGGAGUAAGAGAUAUCAUGAUUGGAGUGAGGCACUUUGAAGACAGAGAGAGGAGCCCUGAACCAAUGAAUACAGGUGGCCACUGGAAGCUGCAGAAGACAAGGCAACAGGUUCUCCCCUGGAGUUUCCAGAAGGAACCGGCCCUGUCAAUACCUUGACUUCACCCCAGUGAGACCAGAUUUUGGAACUGUAAGGGAAUGAAUGCACGCCGCUCUAAGCCACUCAGUUUGUGGUAGUUUGUUACGGCCUCAGUGAGAAACUAAUACAGUCAGUUACCGCUAAGUAGCAAACCAGCUCGAUGCUACUUUGUCAUUCUUUGGCGGGAAGGGGUUGGGGGGAGCCGCUCGGUCUCAGAUGAUAGGUUGGUGUUCAGGCUCUUCAGCUGUGUUCUGGGAGAAGGGCUGUGCUCUUUUCAUGGCAAUGACAAAAAUGGGAGAGAAAAUGAGCAGACAUUUGUUAUGUCUGUUACCGGUUCAGCUCUGAGACACCCCACUUCUGCUCAUUUUCCAUUGGUCAAAGAAGUCACGUGGCCAAACUGAACACCAGUGAGGACCCUAGAACUGUACACAGCCUGGUUUAGUGGGAAGAACUGCAAAAUGACACAGCAAAGGGCAGGGAUAUACGAUUCUAACAUUGGGGAGGGGUAGGAAACAGUUGGGUCCUGCCACACUUUCCUUGAAGAUUCAUAAUGCACGUUGACAUGUGGAGAGCUCCAAGAGGUCCUGCAUAAAUAAGUCUGUGUAACUCUGUUCACACGAUGUUCUCCAAGCUUCUCAGCAUGCAGAGCCCUCCUAUUAGCCUACAGGGUUAGUAUUUUGAGGCAUGCUCCUGAAGGCGGUUCGUCUUUAGAAGUUCAAGGGAGGAGAAGACUGCAGGCUUGCCUGGGCCUUGAAGAGUGGAUUCAAGCAGUUGAUGAGGCUUUUCCCAUGGGGGGAGCAAAACUGAAAAUUGUUCGUGUGAGCUAAUGUCCCUAUCCUCAAGGGACUCUUUCUCAUGAGAAUCUGAUCAAAUACUCCGUUCCCUCAUGGACAAGAAGAGGCCAGGAUGAGAUCCUUGUCUAAAAGAGCAAACACCGCUGUCUGGGAGUCCGGUCUUCAUUAACCCAAGGACCUGUUGGAAAUUCCUCAAAAGGCAGACCCUCACCUCUCACCCAAGAGCUGGGGUGCCUCCUGCUGACCGGGCUUCCUGCGAACAAGCAUGAAUUUGGGAAGUGUUGCUGGAUGGGAAACAGAGGCGGGUAAAACAGGUUUCCCACCAAAGUUGAUCAUCAGGCCUGCUACUAGAAGUUUCCCUGGACUGGAGACCUGAACUCUUUCCCCCUUCCUGUGUGGACCCAGACUAGGAACAGGCAGAGGAACAGGAAGCAAGUUUCCCAACGUGGGAGCUGUCAACUCCAACUCAUGCAGGUGGACAUGACUCCAUGAGGCCCCCGGAGCAAAGCCGUGAGCCUCUGACGUGUGGGCCUCCACUGCUCUGAGGAACAGGGUUGAGGACACGCUGUCCCUGUGCCCUGCCUGCUUCCCUCCACUGUGAGUCACCACAGCACUGCCCGGGGAGGGCUGGCCACUCUGUGGGAUGGUGACUUAUUUGACACACUUAAUUAGCCUAUUUCCAUGUAACAUGUUUUAACGGAGGCCAUUACAGCCUAAUAAAAGGAAACAAUAGCGCCAUAAAUCCCAGGAUCAAUAGAAGGGAAAGCAGGGAGGCUGAGAGUGGCUUCCUCUGAAAGAUCCAGAGAGGUUUCAAGAAUGCAAUUCCCCUUGAAAUUGAAGGAUGAGGGGAAAGAAUGUUUGCCGGCUCGCUCGCUCACUCCCUCUCUUAUGCAUUCAGCAAAUAUUUAGAGGGUACAGACUAUGGGCCAAUCUCUCCCGUAAACUCCUAGGACGUAGACAAAAGGCAAGGUCUAGUGGAGGAGAAAGAUGCACAAUUCAGUGUGGCCAAUCCAAUGAACAAGAGCUGGAGGGAGAGACUUCCUGGAGGAAGAAUAUUUGAAUGGGUUUUGAAGGAUAAGCAGGAGUUUUCUGGGCGGAAAAGGGAGUGGGGGAGGACGAUGGUAGGGGCAGGAGGAGCACAUGGAGAGUGCAGAGACAGGAAAGGAGCACGGUAAGUUUGGGGAACAGAGUAUGAGACAAGCAGAGAGCAGAGACACAGAGACAUGGGAGAGGGUGUGGCUGGAGAGGUAUGUUGAGGCACGGUGGGAGAGAGCCCUCUCUGCCAAGCUAGAGUUUGGAUUCUUUUGAGAUCCAGCGGAGUUGAAAGAGAUCGGAGGGCGCAGUUACCAGAGACAAGUGCUGCAGAGAAAACUCCUUGUCUCGGUUCAUUCCGUAUCCCGGGCCUGGCACCCUGUAGCUUUGCAGUCUCCCAGGCAAACUUGGUAGGGACACCACAGCCACUUCUGCUUUGUGCCCGAGCAAGACGUAUACCCCAGCACAGACAUGAGCUCACAGCUUUGGGGGCAGGACUGGAGGGAUUGAAGAAGACAGCAGAGGAGCAACCUACCUCUUUAGUUGGAAGGAAGGGGCUGGAUCAAGAGAAGCCUGCAAAGGUGUUUGGAGGGACACAUGAGACAUUCACACUCCAGGAGGCUCCAGGAGACACUGUCAGCUCUUGUUGAGACAACGUGCCAGCGCAGGAUACACGUUUUUGGCUGAUUAGCCAUAUGGCGAAAGCGUCGUAUAGCGAGGUCACGGCCACCAGCUUAGUCUGCUUUCCCGAAAUCUCACGAGUCCAUGGGUUGUACUCAAGAGGAGAGCUGGAUUCUUAGCUUAGCUUUGCCAUCAGCCAUGAUUUCACUGUGGACUGCCCGCUCUAUCUGUCUGAAGUUCAGCUUCUCUUAUGGUAAAUGAAUUUUCCUCAAUAGUUCUCUCCUUCACCAAAGCAUCUAACCAAGUCCGGUUGAUUUUACCACUCAAUAUGGCAUCCUUCCCUCUAGUUGAAGCCACCAUCAGAUGUCACUUGAGGACUGUUGGAAUUCUGUGACAAUCUUGACCUGGAAUUCUGACUUCCAGUCUUGCUAUGCAGGGUGUUCAUCAAGUCUGUGAAAAGAUGGAGGUAUUAAGGCUGUGUGAGCCACAUAUGUCUAUGCUCUUCUUUGGUGGAAACAACCCAAUGUCCACCAACUAAUGAAUGGAGAAACAAAAUGUGGUAUGUCCAUUCAAUGGAAUAUUACUUAGCCACGAAAACAUUAUACUAAGCGAAAGAUGCCAGACACAAAGGGCCAUAUGUUAUAGGUUCCAUUUAUAGGAAAUAUCCAGAAUAGGCAAAUCUAUAGAGACAGAAAGUAGGGCUGAGGUGAGAUGGGGAAACGGGGCGGGUGAUAGCUAAAGGACAUAGGGUUUCUUUUUGAAGAGAUGAAAGUAUUCUGACAUCGACCGAGUAAAGGUUGCAAUUGCAUUGCAUUGACCGAGUAAAGGACUCUGAGUAUGCUAAAAGCCAUUAAGUUGUAUAUUAUAAAUAAGUGAAUUAUAUGGUAUGCACAUCAUUUCUCAGUAAAGUUGUAGUAAAAAAAAAUAUCUGUAGCUCACAGGCCAUAUGAAAAUAAGCUGCGGACCACAUUUGGCUCAUGGACUAUUGUUUGCUGAUCCAGAGGCUCUAUGUUCCUGCCAAAUGAAUGGCCUAAAAUGCAGAUCUGGUUUUGUCACUCCCCUGCCAGGAAAUCUUCGAUGGCUCCCCAUUACCCAUAGGAUAAAGAACUAAUUCUUUGGCUCUCAUACAUGCCCUUCCACACUCUGUCUCCCGCUAGUCUUUCUAGUUUCAUGCCUUUCCAUCCCUCUCCAUGCUACAGCUGCACGGAUGAACGUUCGUAUCCAUUGACACUCCCCCUUGGAUUUGGUUUCUGUCGUACCCUCUGCCUUCGGUAUUUUGGAAAGUUCUUACUUAUCUCUCAAACUUUCACUCAGGUAUCCCUUUCCUUUAUGGAACCUUCUGUAGCCUCCCCAGGAAAGGGGAUCGCUGCUACCUUAUGUGUUGUCUUGAAUUAUAUUUAUCUGAUUAAAGAUAGGCUUGCCUUCAUAAGACUGUGAGCUCCUUGGCAGCAGCAAAACAGGAACCCUGUCUUUUCUUCUUGGCCCAACCAGCGCUCAGCACAAGCCCCUGGCACGCAAUCAACAUUUAGUAACUGCUUUCUUGAAAUGAAUUGAAGCCCAGUGAGAAGCUGACUAGCUAAAUGGCAUCAGAGGAAUUCAGCAAAAUCUCACUGCAGAAAAGGCUCUUGGAGGAUAUCUAGUAACCUAAGGCCCUCAUUUUCUGGGAUAAAACUUGCCUGGCUAUGAUAAAACUCGCCCGGAAUCAUCCAGUAAUUAGAGGCUGAGGCAUAUCUAGAGUCUGAGUCUCCACCCCCCACCCCGGGGCUCCUGUGUGCACACCUCCGUGUCUUUCUGCCGUCCCUUCCAACGUUAACCCUCUGGCAAUCAGGGCAGUUUGCCACAGCCAGGCUUUAUAGCCAUCUCCUUGGCUCAGCUAAGCCAAACAUCCCCAUGGCCACCAGCCCACUUCUCUCUCCCUCCCACUCCGGGCACUCUUGAGCUCCCUAGAAGGGGUCAACUACCUCAGGAGUGGCCAGAAGAGUGGGCCAGAAGCUCCAGGAAGUGCUGGCUGUAGGAACAGAGAGUACGGCCCACCCUCUGAUGCAGCUGGAGCUGGAGGUUGGGCCCCGGCUCAGACUUGGAUCCCACAGUUUGAUUUAUUGCAUUGGGUACUUGUUCCACACAUGUUUUUCCUAUGCCUGGGAACACCCCAGGCUGACUGUGGUUUUCUCUUUCUUUUAUCGUGUGUGUGUGUGUGUCUGAGAGUGAGAGACAGAGACAGAGAGAGACACAGAGAAACAGAGAAAGACAGGUAUUUCUGAGUCAGAUACAGGAUCAAGGUCCUUGGAGACUGCUAAAGAAUUAAAGAAGAUUCUGGAUUUUACUAAGGCUUAUUCCUCUCCUGCAGGCACGUGUGUAGCCAGCUACAACCUCUGUAGCCUGCACAGCGCCUACUAUGUGCCAGGCACCUGGUCCUGUUGAGCCUCAUGCCAACUCCAUGCCGUAGGAGGGAUUGCCCUUGUGUUCAGGACAAGGGAGCCAUGGCUGGGAGGGCCAAGCCAUGCUUACGACCCUGGUUAGCAACGGUGGAGCCUAGACCCAGAGUCGAGCCUUUGUUUCUGCCACCUGAGCCCUUGAACCUUCUCCUCUAUAGGAAGGGCCUCCUCUGGCCAGACACCAAGCUUUCACCAUGACAGACAUGUACCCAUGUACCCCCCCCCCGCUUAGAGCUUCAUUGGUAUUUGUAUGAUGCCAUUGCCACCAGCCUUAUGGAUAGCUUUACUAAAACUGAUCAAACUCCAAGCUAUUUUGGGGGUCCACCUCUAUGUUUCGUAUCGAUUCUCUGACUUAUUAAGGCACAGAUUAGCCAUUCCAAUGUCUCCCAUUAGCAGAGGAAGAAAUCAAGGACUGGGGAGGUCAAGCGACAUGCCCAGGGCCAGCUAGCUAGUUGAUGACUGAGCCGCGAUGCGGGGGUCUUUGUCUCUUGUGUCUCAGCUCAAGGUCUUUGUGUCCUGCUGUGUCGCCUUCAUGCUACAAGCUCUCUCUUUCCACGGAAGUGUUUUGGACCCCAUCUCGUCAUUUCUACUUUAGCUGUGCGUAGUACCCCUCCUCAUAUCCUUGCGAUGCUCUCUCGUCUCCAAGGGUGGAAAUAGCACAACAGCUGAGGAGCCAGGAAACGCAGGCUCUGUCCAUGGUUUCCGUGGUGCUGGCUUCUUUGAGUCCUUGAGUCUAAGGUACCCCCCGCCUGGACAAAAGCCCACAUACUGAAAAGGCCUUCCCCGUUUUAGAGAUGAGACACGGAGGCCAGAAAGGAUGGAAACGACCAACCCAAGCGCACACAGAGAUGACAGUCAGUCUAAGACUGGAAAUUGUUGCCCCCUGUUGCCAGGUGUAGCUGCGGCUUUGAGGAGCCAUUUGUCUUUUCUGGUGGGUCCUCAUGAGCAGAGAAGCAGAUGCCAGCUUUUUUAAGGAAGUACGUCCUGAUGCUCAGUGUUGCUUGAGUUGUAAGAAGAUUCUCUGAGAGGUAGUGAGCUCCCUGUGGCCGGAGAUGGCCAAGUAGAGGCUGCAUAAGCCCCCGCCCAAAGGAGUGUGGAGCAGACCGAAGAGGGCUCCGUGACUUUGGGCUCAGUGCCUAACCCAAAGGGCCCAUGACCCCAGGAUCCAAGACUCCUGCCUUUCUUUCCGGGAGAGUAGGGGAGCGGGAAGGGGUGGGGUAGUAGCUUCAAAGACAGAAAAAGCCUUCUACCUAAAGAGGUCCCACUGUUGGUCGUCAACCAAAGGUUUUGUGGGACGUUCACUGAAAAGUAGGUCUGAGCCUUGUAAUUUAACCUUCGCUCCCGAGGGGGUGUCUAACUAGAUGAAAGGGUACAGCACUUAGAGGAGGUUACAGAACCUCCGGCGGGGGGGGGGGGUGGUGGAAAGGAGCCCAGGAAAUGGGCGGGGAUUGUCCCAGACACUCAGCUGGAUUUGAUGGGGCAGAUGAAAGUGUAGGAAAUGGCCCGGCAUUCAAUUCUGGGCAGCAGCCUGGACAUCUUCACGGACCAGGGGCCAAGGGCCUCGGCAUCCAGGGAUCCUUGAAAGCUGGCGUCCAGGGACGCCCCUUCCAGUAGGUGAAGCAGAUCUAGAAGUUACGUCUUUGAAGUUUCUUCCUCAGCUUGGGGCCAGCCCAGACCGAAUGUGGUUUCCUGUCUUUGGGGGUGAGGCUGUGUGCGUGCGUGUUCGCUACCUGCCUUUUGCUGGCCGCAGGGUUUGUGUCCAUCCCAGGAGCCCAGGACUCUCAGACCUCAGCCCGACAUGCUGAGAUGUUCUGGGACCCAGCCAGAUACCCGUGUACCUGGGUAGACCGCAGUGAGUGCUAAUGGGGUGCAGCCCGCAGACGGGUGAAAGUGGGGUGGGGUAUUGCCCCUGGAAAAUCAAAUAAUAGAAACCAUAGAAAAUAAAACCAUGCAAGCCAUAGAAUUCUCAUGUUAAUUUUGCCUCCCCUAGAUUUGCUGAAAUCUUUGCUGCCUCAUGUUACCUCCAUGUUCGAAUCUGGCGUAAGUCUGGGUCUGAUUCGACACCAAAUCAGCUAGUUAAAAAUCUCCUUUGUCUCUAGGUCUUUCGGACAGCACCCUCGCUUCCAGACCGUGUGCCCCCAUAAAGAUUCGAGAGUCACCGAGAGUCCCUGCUCAGAGAGACUUGGGAUCUAGAUGUGGUUCUCCCCCAGCCCAGCUCUGCCAAG
rnacentral:lncRNA from 1 species